GCUGGGCACAGUGGUGGAUGCCUGUAAUCCCAGUUACUCAGGAGGCUGAGGCAGGAUUGCAUCUUUCAGGCCAGCUUCAGCAAUUUAGUGAGACCCUGUCUCAA
rnacentral:sRNA from 1 species